GACGAACGCUGGCGGCGUGCUUAACACACGCAAGUCGAACGGUAAGGCCCUUCGGGGUACACGAGUGGCGAACGGGUGAGUAACACGUGGGUGAUCUGCCCUGCACUUCGGGAUAAGCCCGGGAAACUGGGUCUAAUACCGGAUAGGACCACUGCCUGCAUGGGUGGUGGUGGAAAGCUUUUGUGGUGUGGGAUGGGCCCGCGGCCUAUCAGCUUGUUGGUGGGGUGAUGGCCUACCAAGGCGACGACGGGUAGCCGGCCUGAGAGGGUGACCAGCCACACUGGGACUGAGAUACGGCCCAGACUCCUACGGGAGGCAGCAGUGGGGAAUAUUGCACAAUGGGCGCAAGCCUGAUGCAGCGACGCCGCGUGAGGGAUGACGGCCUUCGGGUUGUAAACCUCUUUCAGCACCGACGAAGCGCAAGUGACGGUAGGUGCAGAAGAAGGACCGGCCAACUACGUGCCAGCCGCCGCAGUAAAAC
rnacentral:rRNA from 1 species